rnacentral:lncRNA from 1 species
AGAUAUAAUCCACAUUACAUGUAUAUUUCAUAUUUCUUCCUUUUCCUCGAUUGAUAGAUAUGGCAUACACUUGAUAUUAUAGGGCUUUUAGUUUUAAUAAAGGAACGUCAACGCUAAAAAUUUAGUAGCAUAAUAUAAUGAAUAUUUGUUGAUUUUAAUAUUCAAUGACGGUCAUCUUGGAAUAAUGCGGCAUAUCCAAACUUAGGACGGGUCGACACUAAUAUUUAUAUAUAAAUCCAGCAUUUCUAUCAUACCACAUAUUCUCGUUAAAGUUUGACAAUUUUAUAAUAUCAUAAUGUGUGGUUACGUUUUAAUCAUUCGGAAAUGUAGGAAACUAAAUUUAUCUUUUUAAACGGUAUUACUGAUUAUGAAAGGAAUUUGGUCCAUAAGUUUUAUUCAGUCCAAGAAAAAAAUAGCACAUGUGGCUCCAACUUCUUACUAAAAAUAUUAAGGAAAUUACUUUGGUCGAUAUUCACUUUUUUUAAUGCAUUUUCUGCAUAUAAAUUUAACCUUAUACACAUGUGUACAAGAUAUAUAUUUCAAUCCAACAAAAAACAUUGUGUGACUACACAUAACUAUUGAAAAAAGCAGUAAUUGUAAAGUACGUAGAUAACUAUUACCCGUAAUUUCCGACAUCCGCUCAUCUAACAUGUCUUAGGAUAAUUCACUGUCUUACUGGUGAUAUUAAUAUUGAUGGAUUGUUCGUCAAUACAUGUACAGACAUGCAUCUAUAUAAAACGACUGUUAAACUAUCAAUAACACCGUUAAUCUAUGCGCUCUAGUGAUAUAUGACGAAUUUAAUCUACCUCUUCGACCACAGUGACUUAUUACGCAGUCAAAGGCUUUAAAGAUCGUUAAAGGAUUUUAGAGGCUCACAGAGGGAAACUAAUGACGUGCAUCCGUAGAUAAUACAUUCUCAA